rnacentral:rRNA from 1 species
UACGAAGGGGGCUAGCGUUGCUCGGAAUUACUGGGCGUAAAGGGCGCGUAGGCGGACAGUUUAGUCAGAGGUGAAAGCCCAGGGCUCAACCUUGGAAUUGCCUUUGAUACUGGCUGUCUUGAGUUCGGGAGAGGUGAGUGGAAUGCCGAGUGUAGAGGUGAAAUUCGUAGAUAUUCGGCGGAACACCAGUGGCGAAGGCGGCUCACUGGUCCGGUACUGACGCUGAGGUGCGAAAGCGUGGGGAGCGAACAGG